GACGAACGCUGGCGGCGUGCUUAACACAUGCAAGUCGAACGGUAAGGCCCUUCGGGGUACACGAGUGGCGAACGGGUGAGUAACACGUGGGUGAUCUGCCCUGCACUUCGGGAUAAGCCUGGGAAACUGGGUCUAAUACCGGAUAGGACCACUGCCUGCAUGGGUGGUGGUGGAAAGCUUUUGCGGUGUGGGAUGGGCCCGCGGCCUAUCAGCUUGUUGGUGGGGUGAUGGCCUACCAAGGCGACGACGGGUAGCCGGCCUGAGAGGGUGACCGGCAACACUGGGACUGAGAUACGGCCCAGACUCCUACGGGAGGCAGCAGUGGGGAAUAUUGCACAACGGGCGCAAGCCUGAUGCAGCGACGCCGCGUGAGGGAUGACGGCCUUCGGGUUGUAAACCUCUUUCAGCACCGACGAAGCGCAAGUGACGGUAGGUGCAGAAGAAGGACCGGCCAACUACGUGCCAGCAGCCGCCGUAA
rnacentral:rRNA from 1 species